ensembl:lncRNA
GUUUUUAAUCACAUAUAUUGACAGUUUCAUGAUACAGAGGAGAGCGACUCAGAAAGUGUCUGUCCAGGGUGGGAGGGGUCACUCUCAGGGUCCUGGAGGUGUCCAGGUGUUGGAGAGAAGGAAGACUGCAAACACCUUCUCAGCCAAAUGGACGACACACUGCAGCAGAAAGACUUCACAGUCUCCACUCAUGUAGGAUGAUGGAGGCUGGUGGGGCUGGUUCCUCCUGCAGACGUUCCAACAGCUGCAGUUCCUCUAACAGCCACUUGAAGCUGACUCCAAAUGUGAGUGAAUAUUUACAGUUUUCAGGGUCUGUGUUCAAACUUUAAACCUGAGGGACUGAAAUAAACCCAGGUGUGAAUCCAGAGAGUCUCAUGUGUGGUGUGUGAGUGUGGAGUAGGUCUGGUCCUGGUCCCUGGCGGCUGGAUGGAGGCUCUGGUAGGUCGAGUCUUCACGUGUAGAACCUGGAGUACAGUUCUCGUAGUGGGACGUCCUAAAACAGAGACACACUGUCUUCUUCACAUAACAAGAACAGACUCUGACUUGGUGAAAUCAUUUGUGCUGGUAAAUAUUUCCAUGUUGCCUCGUUGAACCUCUCAGACAACAGUGUCUCUGUUUGUUGUUGGAGUCUCCGUCUGGGCGGCCAUUUUUGUCACCUACCUGUUUGAAUUCACCUUCUUGGAUUGUAAUUUCUGGAACAGUCUACAAACUGAACCAUCACACUGUGACUGCUUUAUUUCUUUGUUACGGUAGCAGUCUGUCAGCAGUGAGAGGAAACAAAGAGAAAGAAAGUCACCUCCAUGUUUGUGCCCUCUGAGUUUCCUCUGGUCCUCAAACCUGUGGAACAAACAGGAUGUUCCUCUGUUAGAAGGACCAAUCAUUCAAAGUGCACCUGAGGAAGAAACACGAGAGAUCAUUCAGAAUUAUUCACUUUGGUUAUGAGCAGUCUGAUAUCUGGAUUUUUAUAUAUCUGUUUAUUUAUUGUUUCUCCCACUGUCUGCUCCUCUGCUCUGUGUUUCCAUUUUCCUCUCUGACUUUGCUCCGUUUAUAUUUUGUUCUUUUCUGCAAGUUUCCAGCAAUGAAGCUGAAGUGAUUUCACAUCCUGACUCCUGAAUAUUGGAGCCAGAACCUGCCUCAGUGCAGAAUCACAUGACAUGUACUUGAUAACACACAAGCCUGAAUCAGUCAGUUUUCACUCUGUCAGCUCAGUGGUAAAAAGCAUAGCCUGUAUAUUAAAGAUGGAAUUAUCUGCUGUAAUGUCAGCUGUUGCUUUGUGCACUCCUGUUAUAAAAGCCUCAGUUCAGCUUGUUGGCUGCAGCAGGAAAGUGUUUACUGAGGUCACAGUGAGCAGUCAGCUCAUAGAUACAAGCAGCCAUAACCAGAGUCGUCUGUGGUGAACGCCUGUGUUUAACUGAAUGAGCUGAAUGUCAGAUCCUGUUUGUCUUCCUGUUUUCUCUGUGAUGUUUCUUUGACCUUGAAGUUUCCCAGAUAUGUACUAAUCAUGUUGACCUCUUUCUUCUUCACCUCUCUGCUUUACUAAUUCCUGAGUCAAUAUCUUAUUUUAAACUCAUGAAAACUGUGCACGGUCUCUUCUUCUAUAGGAAAAGACGAAUACAUGAUGCAUUCUUAAAGGGAUUUUUCAUUUUUGUAUUUUUUGUGCUUUCUAACAUGUUUCUUAACAUCAUUGGACCAUAACAUAAUUCAUUUAUAUAGCACAGUAAAAACAACACAUGGUCGACCAAAGUGCUGUACAUCAGUGCAGCAGAUCUGCCUGAGAAAUAUUCUGCUAUUGUGUUUCUCUCUUUCCUUUCUCUCCCUCUGUCACCUGGGCAGAGUUCACUGUGGGCUCCCACCUUUGGCCUACAUACCUGGGAGACGAGUAACACCUGCGUCUCAUUAACUGGCCUCUACUUAAGUGAGACUGCUCUUCACUGGAUUGUUGCUUGACUUGUGUCAGUGAAAUCCUGUCUAGGACACUGCUAAUCUAGUUCCCUUGUGUACAGACCUGCCCUUGUUCCUUACGGAGAUUCUGGUGUGAGAGAGGAGUGAGAGAUUGGUGAGAUGCCAAGAGAGACAGAAGGGGAGUGAGAGUGUUCCCCUGCAGAUUCCCUGGAGCCCUGAUCCCUGAUCCCUGCACUCUUGUAUAGCACUUUGUCACUGUGGCACAUUUCACCUGGUGUUAGUGAAUAAAGCCUCUGUUCUUCCUUUGAGCAAAGGAGUCCUGCGUUUGAGUCCCUCCAGUUACCGUAACAAUAAGUAUCAAUAAAAUAACAGAGUCAGUUACGCACUGAGUCAAAAGCCUGUUAAUAGAAAUGAGUUUUUAACCUGGAUUUAAAGGCCAACACUGAAGCAGAUUGCAGUUCAAAGCUUCGGGGCCACGAUGGAGAACGCUCGGUCUCCUCUCAGCCGUUAUUUAGGGACUGAGAGCAACAGCUGAGCAACUGACCGGAGUGAUUGGGGAGAGAAGGAGCAGAUCUGACAAAUAUACAGGCGCCAGACCAGUUAAGGAUUUAAAAACCAGUAAAAGGAUUUUAAAUUAGAUCCUAAAUUCAACUGGAAGCCAGUGUAAGGACAUCAGAACCAGAGUAAUAUACUCAAAUGUUCUUUUACCAGUUAAAACUGUGCUGCAGCACGUAAAUGAAGGGCAGUCUGUUAAUAUUUUUUUGCACUUAAAUCAAUGAAUUAACAAAGCAGUGAAUCGUGUCCUUCCUCCUGAAUGCUCCACCUCUCACUAAACCAAUCAGAGUACUGAGCAGUAAGAACUGAAACAGAGACUCAGUCUGAUCCUCCUGAAAUCACCCACGCUGCAUGUGUGUUUGGUUACCUCAGGUUUUGAGCCUAACAUCUAUCCGUGUCCUCAAACCAAAGCGUGCAGACGAGUCACAAAGAAAAAGUCAGAGAAAAUAUUUUUGUUUCACUGCAGCUUUGACAAGUGACAUAAAGUUAGUUUCAGAUUUUGAUCAUAAAUGGAAAAUUCUGUUGUUGCUGUAUCUUUGUUGUCUUACCUCUGUUGCUCUUCCUCUUAAUGCAGAUUAUUAGAACAGCCAGUGAUGAGAGGACGAUGAUGAUGAUGAUGAUGAUGAUGACAGCCACAGUCAGACCCACAGGCAGCGAAACACCUGCAGCAGAUUCAGAAGACUAGUCGUGUACAGAGGAGGAUUUUUAAAAACCUGUGGACACAAUUGUACCUUCAGGUGUUUUCUCAGGCUGCUCCGUGGUUACACUCGAGGUGAGUGAAGGUGAGAAGGCUGAUUGGACGACUGCUGAAACAGGUCAGAGAGUGAAGUUUAGAUGUGGUUCUUAUUUAAAAGCAGAGAUCUGAGAAAAAGCAGCCCGCUCACACACUCAGAGUCACACAUCACUGUGUGUCACACGACUGCUGCAGUGUCACUGUGAGUAAGGAUGUUUGUAACAUCACAUCUUUGACAUCACAGUAGGCAGGUAUCAUUGUUCAGCAUGCUGGGUGUAUUUUAACUGACAUAAUAUUCUUUCUGAAUAUAGCCAAACAUUAAUAUGUGUCCAAACCAGUGCAUGAAACCAAGACACAAACACAAAAUCCCUCAGAGUGGACACAGACUGCUGUCUUCAAACGUUGUGACCUUUCCCACCACCUGAUGUUGUAGCACUUUAACAAAAGGACAGCUCAGUCCUCCUGCAGCCAGUUUGGAAAUGACCGAGUUAAAGAACACCUCUUUCUUAAAGGUGAGACACCAGCAGCGUCUGAUAGAUCAGCAGUAUCUGACAUCUGGGAUAAAAGUGUAAAGAAAGAUUCUGAAAUUCAGAUUUUAUAAUAGCAUCAAGUUUUGAUAGUGCUCCAGAAAAACUGUCAAAUUAGAUUUUAGUUGCAGAAAAAGUGCAAAUCAUUAUCUACAGUGUGGCUGUUAGAUAAUAUGUCUGGUUAUCUGAAACACCAGCAGCUAUCAAUGACUAAAUUAGCAACAUUAAAAACAUUUUCAGGGAAAACUCACCAUCUGUGACGUUGAUCUCAAAGAGUCUGAAUGAAGCUUGACCAGAAGAUGGAUUCAGAGAACAUCUGUACUGUCCUGAGUCAGACUCAGUCAGCUGUGUGAUUGUCACAUACACAAUUCCUCCUCCUCCAUAUGUCUCCUCUGAAGUUCCUCUAAAUCCAAUUCUGUAUCUGUCUUUGGAAGCAUCUUCAUCAUCUGUUUGAAGAAGAACCUCGUCCUCUCCACAUUCUCCCCUGCAGAAGAACUUUUGUCCUCCAGACGGAUUAAAGGAACAUCCGACUGUGAGAGAGCUUCCAGUUUCUUUAUUGAAGUGUUUCAGCUGAGCAGGAUCGUUUCCA